CAGCAGCCGCGGUAAUACGUAGGGUGCAAGCGUUGUCCGGAAUUAUUGGGCGUAAAGAGCUCGUAGGCGGUUUGUCGCGUCUGCUGUGAAAACGCGAGGCUCAACCUCGCGCCUGCAGUGGGUACGGGCAGACUAGAGUGUGGUAGGGGAGAUUGGAAUUCCUGGUGUAGCGGUGGAAUGCGCAGAUAUCAGGAGGAACACCGAUGGCGAAGGCAGAUCUCUGGGCCAUUACUGACGCUGAGGAGCGAAAGCGUGGGGAGCGAACAGGAUUAGAUACCCGCGUAGUCCCUGUCUCUUAUAA
rnacentral:rRNA from 1 species